rnacentral:rRNA from 1 species
UACGUAGGGUGCAAGCGUUAAUCGGAAUUACUGGGCGUAAGCGUGCGCAGGCGGUUAUGUAAGACAGUUGUGAAAUCCCCGGGCUCACCUGGGAACUGCAUCUGUGACUGCAUAGCUAGAGUACGGUAGAGGGGAUGGAAUUCCGCGUGUAGCAGUGAAAUGCGUAGAUAUGCGGAGGAACACCGAUGGCGAAGGCAAUCCCCUGGACCUGUACUGAUGCUCAUGCACGAAAGCGUGGGAGCAACAGGAUU